GAAAACCACCCGCACGUGCUGGGUUCGGGCCAGUUGCUGCAGGCAUGAAGGUGGGUAUCCCACCCAUAGAGACAAAAGAAGGAGGGAGGGGUUCCACACCUCAUUUUAUCCUCUUGAGAAUUUUGCCCAGAACUAGUCCUGCCAGGAUUAAUAUCACCUGUAAAUGCAUUUAUUUCUACCUUUGAAUCCAUCAGGUUUUUUUUUUUUUAUUAUUAAAGCUUAGAUAAAGUUUUUAAAAAUUCCAUCAACAUCAGGCACCAGAAGGGGAAUUUCAGAGAAUGAGAUGAUCAGAUUUCCAAGUUUAUUGAAAAACUUACAGAUAUCUGCAUGGCUGCUCAUGCCAUUUUAAAAAACAAGUGCAGCUAGGCGAGCCGUUUAAUAAUCUGGGCCUUGUCAGCUGUGCGGAGAGUGGACCAAGAGGAUGAGCUCACCCCGGGCAGGCUUUGGCUGUGGUGGAAGUGAACGCUGCGGCAUGCUGCAGGCCAGCAGCACAGGUCACACUGCAGACUGAGCCUCACAGCUUCUUAGGAGCCACCACCACGCAGGCUAAGUGCCCAGGUCUGUUGGCCCACCUGUCGAUCGCAAUAGAACCCAAACGCUUCCUCUCCCAUGUCAGCCACACCCUGGAGCUCAUCCUGGUUUAGAGUAGUGGUAAGUCUUCAAAGGCCUUUAAUCCUUACCAUAAUCCUGAAGUGGGUCUUAUUAGUUCUGUUUUCCAGGUGAAGAAAUUGAUGUGCCUAGGAGGGAGGGAACUUAUAUUAGGACCACAGAAUGGAGCGGCAGAGCUAGGUGGUAGCGCAGGUUUUCAAAGUCCUGGUCACCUGCACCUUUUGCUCUCUCAGGCUACUCCCCCACCAGAACCAGUUUAGAGGGGGGAGAUGUUAAUGAACCAUCUUUUAGCCUUGGGGGUAAAUGUGUGCGAAUUAGCAGGUGGAUGGGGCAGGGGAGUUAGGUAGGAGGCUGUGGAACAUAGACAUUACAAGUGUCGACUAAAAAUCAAGCUCUGUGGGUUCAAAUCUGGGCUCCCUCACUUAGGAACUGUGUGACCUUGAAUAAGUUACUUAACUUCAUUGUGCCUCUUUAUAAAAUGGAGAGUGAUGGUAAUAUUUACCCUGUAGGUUUCUGGUAAAGAUUAAAAACGAUAAUGGGAGUUCCCAUCAUGGCACAGCAGAAACGAAUCUGACUAGGAACCAUGAGGUUGUGGGUUCGCUCAGUGGCUUAAGGAUCCUGGCCUCACUCAGUGGGUUAAGGAUCCAGAGUUGCCAUGAGCUGUAGUGUAGAUCCCAGAUGCGGCUCGUAUCUGGUGUUGUAGCUGUGGUGUAGGCCGGCAGCUGUAGCUCCCAUUUGACCACUAGCGUGGGAACCUCCAUAUGCUGUGUGUGCGGCCCUAAAAGCAAAAAUAAAUAAAUAAAUAUUUAAAAAUAAAAAAUAAAAAUGAUAGUGGAUAAAGCAUUGAAUACAGCGCCUGUAUAAAUUGAAUACAGUAAGUUGGAAAAACGGUAUAUAUAGCUUGAGCCCAUUUUUAGAAUCAGUGGAAGUCUGUGAAUGUGCCUCAUACAGGGCCUGUCUCAUAGAGGUGAUCGGGAAUUUGCAGUCCUUCCCUGCCGUCUUUCCCCUGGUUAUGAGCCCUUACAGGUCCUCCUUGCAGGGGAGGGUCCUGCAUGUGCCAGGUUAGAAGAGCUGCUUCUUAGAAUUGCCCCUGACCCUGCCACCCACUUGCAGUGCCACCCGCAGCUGUCCUGGGCCCUGAUUUCCUCAGCUAUAACAUAAAGGGAUAAGGAAUAGCUAGGUUUGAGGAAGUGCAUGUGGUCCACUUCUGUAUCGGAAUCACCUCAAUGGAUUGUUGAAAAUGCAGAUUCAUGGGCCCUUCCCCAAGUUGACCAAAUCAGAAUGUCUAGAACACCCCUUCAGGUCCUGGCCCAAUUCUCAGAGAUUCUGAUACAAUUGGCCAUUAAUAAGUAAUGAAAGUAAAUAAUAAAAUACAUUAAUACAUUCAAAUUUAAUUGUUAACUCUGGUUGUCUUAUAGAUUUUUCUGUUUGUUUUCAGGUUUUAGCAGUUUUACCAGCUGUCUCCAGAUGUGGUUUUCUUUGUACUUAUUCUGUUUGGGGUCCAAAACACUUCUUGAAUCUAUGGCUUGAUGUCUUUGGUCAGCUUUGGUAAUUCUCAGUCAUUAUCACUGUAAAAACUACUUCUGUUCUGUUUGCUCUUUCCUCUCCAAGACCCCAAUUACAUGUAUGUUGCACCUAUUUGCUGGUCCCAUUCUGUCUUAUAUGCCCCCUUAUCCCUGUCCAGUAUUUUCCAUCUAUUUUUUUCUCUCCAUUCUUCCAGUCCAGAUAUUCUCUAUUGAUCUGUCUUUGAAGACUCUAGUCCUUUCUUAAGUUGUGCCUAAUUUGCUGCUUUAAACUCAUCUACAGAGUUCUUAGUUUUAGUUAAUUAUUUAGUUUUUUCAGGGUUGUAUCUCCAACACUGUUUAUUUUGAGUUGGUAAUUUUUCUCUAAAGGGCCUGGUAGUAAAUAAUUUAGGCUUUGUGUGCUCUAUAGUCUACGGUAACUACUCAACUCCACUUUGGUAGUGAGAAAGAAGCCACAAAUAUUAUGUAAAACUUUUAUUUACAAAAAAGAAAUGGCCAAUGGACCAUAGUUCCCCAGUUCCUUUUUUUCCUUUUUCUUUUUGUCUUUUUAGGGCUGCACCUGCAGCAUAGGGAAGUUCCCAGCCUAGGGAUCAAACCAGAGCCAUAGCUGCCAGCCUGCACCACAGCAACGCCAGAUCCGAGAUGCUUCUGCAACCUACACCACAACUCAUGGCAACGCCGGAUCCUUAACCCACUGAGUGAGGCCAGUGAUUGAACCUGCAACCUCAUGGUUCCUAGUCGGAUUCGUUUCCACUGCACCAUGACAGGAAUUCCUACUUGGGUCUCAUUCUUUGUCUGUUUUCUCUCUUGGUAUUUGGCCUUUCAUGUCUCCUAGGAUGCUUCGUAAUUGCUUAUCGAAUGUCAGAUAUUGUGUAUAGGAAAUUGUGAGAUAAUUUGAGACUGAGAGGAUUUCCUUUUGCUUUUGGAAGUUAAUGUGGGGCAGAUCAUCAUGAUCCAGGCUAGUAUUGAGCAGAUUUGAAAUGACACUUUAGUCUUUAUGAAAAUGGCUCUGUUUCUGGUUAGUCCCUAUUCCUAGACUUCAGAUCCUAUCUGAAAGCUCGGGAUAUAUACCAGGGUCCCCCUUCUUGCCCUGCUUCCCCAUUUUUUCUACCUCAGUUUGCUGAGAUGACAGAAACACUGCUUAGCUUCACAUCUUCUUGGCUGCUGGUUUCCACUUGGUUUCUCCUCCUCUUGGCUGCUUCACUGAUCAAUUUCUACCAUGCACAACAUCUCCGCUUUUAGUUUUUUCUUAAGAAUCAGCAAAUGCUUCAAGGCAAAGAGCUGUGCCAAGAAUCAGUUGCACCUCUCUCCAAGAUCUCAGUGCCUUAAGAUCUUGCCACAUUUGAUAGCUCUCUGAUAUUUUUAAACAAAAUGUUUAAAAGACGUAAUUCUGUACAUAGUUUCUAUUUGUUUGUGGUAGGUAUGUUGAUCUGUACAAGUUAGGCAGAAAUGGAACUCCUUGGUAUGGUUUGUUUGGUCUCCUCAGGGGAUUUUAGUGUGAGAAGCCCUGGACCGUCAGCUCCUUGCCAGAUCAUAAGAACCCCCUGAGGCCCUUGUUUUAAAAGUCUCAUUUCCUGGUCCUACCUUAGGCAUCCUAAUCACAAUCUCCAGGAAAAGAAGACUGGUAAUUUGUAGUUCUAACAAGUACUUCUAACAAAGGCACAGGUGGGAAACACUGAACAGUGUGACUCCAGGGUCCUAAGCGUGUCUCAGUUGCAUUCUUCUUGCCUAAGUGACCCCAGCGACCCUACCUACCAAUAAAUCCUGUACGUGUCAAUGAGAAAGAGCCUGAUUGCUCUGAUGUGCACAGAGGGCAGUGUGCUGCCUUUUCACUCCCACCUCCAAAUUUAUUUUGCAUUCUGUAGCUUCAAGAGUGGGAGCUUCCUCUUGCUGAAUUAUUUCCAAUUUCUUCCUUAGACAUUUUAAUCAGAGAUGAAAAAUGAUUGGUCUUUUGCCAGCAUUUCAGUCUAAGAGGAAGUUAUUUGCCUCUUAGAGGUACAUUAAUUUUCAGUAGCUUUAGUGCAGAAGACAGUGUGAUGUAGAAAGGGACCUGAAAUCUGGGGAUCAGGGAUGAGCCUGGGGUACUUGGUUAGCCUGGAAGUUGUUGAAGUCCUUUGCCACCUCCCCUCUUCCCUCCAUUAAUGUCAGUUCCCUUUGCCUGCUUCCCUGUAUUUGCAUAUCACCCUCCAAAUUGCCAGUCCUUUCUCCCUGUCCCAGAAUCAGAACGGGGGCUUGCAUAUUCUCCCUCCAUCAUUCCUUGGCACCACUCUCACCAGAACCACCUCUCAGCAGAUGUGCAGCUCAGGAAGGAGGGCAAAGUCAUCAGAUUCCUUUCCUCUGGACCACAGAGCAGGACCAGUUUCCUUAGUUCUCUCUGGCUCAGAAGGACGAGUCCCACUUUGGAGGUCUCUCAUUGUCCUAAUCCCUGGGCUGCCCAGUAAAUGCUACCUACCCACGCCAAUGAGAAAACAGUGAAAUAUGCCCAGUGGAAAAAGAGAAAAGGACAUGAAAAGGAAGUUCAUAAAAGAAGAGACACAAAUAGCCAUAAAUAUAUGAGAAAUAUUUAAUUUCGUAUAUCAUCAAAGAAAUGCCAAUCAAACCUAAUGGUAAAAACUAAUCAGACCCAUAAUAUUAAGUUUGGGCUGUGAUGCAGUCUCACAGACUCAUGUAUUGCUGUGAGAGUAUAAAUUUUUCAGUCUUUCCAGAAAGCAAUUUGGCAAAAUGUAACAAAAGUCUUAUUUUCCAUGACUUUUAACCCUGUGUUUUUCUUUUCAGGAAUUUAUCCCAGUGAAAUAAUAUAAGCUAUUUGUGUAGAUUUAUGCACAAGGAUGCUCAGCAUGGGGCUGUUUUCAUAGUGAUAAUUGGUGUUACCUAGUGAAAUGAAACCACACAACAAUAGGUACAUUUAGACCAACUACACCCCACAUAGCCAUUAAAAGUACUGUAGAUGAAUGUUUGAAGAAGAAUGUCCACGUUCUAAGGUUUAAAAAAGAACAGGUUAUAAGACAAUAUAUCCCAAUAAUUGCAUUUUGUUGGGGGAAAAAAACCAGCAAUUGCAUUUUGUAGGAAAAAAAAAUGGAAGGAUAUAUACUAAAAUGUUAAUAUGGCUAUAUAAAUACCUGUUUUAUCAUACACAAAAAUCAAAGAAACAUGAUUUAUUAAGAAAGCAAGCAGAAAUACUGAUCACCAGUGUCUAGGAAGAGUGGCUUGCAUUCUAGUCCUAAAUAUGCUUCUUGGGCUCUGAGAGGCCUUGGCUCCUUAGUUCUUUGAGGGGCAGUUUCUUCAUCUGUGAAACAGAGGUGGCCCUUGCUCCACGUGAUAGUAUUCAUAUGUGUUUGGGGUUUUCCUGAUUCCAGAUCCCUUUUGAAAUCAAUUGUUUUAUUUUGUUCUCACUACUGUAUCUUGGAGAAAUGAUCAAAGGAUAUCAACACUUUGUGGGCCGCUGGCAAUUUUAUUAUCAGUUUGGUACAUGAGGAACCCAUCAUUUUCUUACACGCUAUAUUGCAAAGAAAAGCUUCCUAAGGAUCACAGAGGGCAAGGUUUUGAGGAAUCAGAAUGGCCUGGUGUGGUAGCCAGGUUAAAGCUGGGCAGGAUCUGAUGGUAGAUGGUCUACACGGUUGGGUCUGUGGUCAGGUACUAGCUGAGGAUGGAGAGGUUGGUAGCAAGCCAUGGCCAGGACUGGAGGAGGCCAAAGAUAGGUGUUGGAAAAACCAAAAAGGGGUGAUUGAGAGAGCUGCUCAAGGUGCAGGGGCUGACCCAGGUAUGGCGGCUUCACUGGAGGUCCAGCACAGGGUCCUAGUGGCCGGAUAUAGGACUUUAAGGCACCAAGAAAAGAGUAGGAGCCAGUCCAGCAAGACCCAGCCCGGCAGAAGAGAGACUGGAUAUUUUGAAGGCUGGGAGCAGGCAUGGCAGGCAUUACUGGGGAGCCCAGAAACAACGAUUUGAUACAUACAGACUUGCUUGCAAGUUGAAAGUCUGCAUUUACACAAGACAGACAGCAACGGAGAAUGGGUAAUAGAUGAACUGAUCUACAGAUAACUUGGAAAAAUGAACUCAUUUAAGUGAAAAUCGAGCAGUUAACUUCCUGCUCACUAACAGGUCGAAGCCUAAUCUUUAAAACUGAUGCUCACAAUCUCACGGUGCCUUAGGUGGUAAUAUCAGCCAUCACUGACCUGGUAUAUCUUCUCAAUAAAUACAUUUUCCUC
ensembl:lncRNA